AUGCAGAGGCAGCAACCAGGAAGACGUGGCUCCUUUGAAGGUUGCCCGCUCUGCGCGAAGCAUGCUUCUGGAGGGGAAUCCCAGCUGGUGCGGUUACACAUAAAAUACACCAGAAAAGGACUCGGUGAAGGAGUCUGCCCUUUCAUGCCUCAAUUAUCCAACCUGAGAGAUGGUGAGGUGAAUCUUUACCAGCUGACCAUGACUCCAAAGUCUCCAGAGAUUCUCAAAGAAAUCCUCAGAGAAGACUGAGAUGGGGGCCAGUCUGACUCUUCCUAUGCAUCAGAAAAUCUACCUCCUCCUGAUGACGCCUUGGGCAGGGCAGCCCCCCAUGCUAAUGCUGGGAAUGCUGUAUAGACCAGUGAGAAGAGAAUGAGCUGUGGAGUCAGGCCUGGGUUCAAGUCCUGCUUCUGCCAUCAGCAAGCCCAGUAGCCCUGGGCAAAUAACUCAACCCCUCCACGUCCAUUUCCAGAUUUGUAAAAUGGACAAUGAUACCUGCUUCCUAGGGAACUAAACUAUGUGUGUUUUAGAGGUUGAAAUUCUCACUCUGCCACUUAUUGGCUGUUGGACCUCAGAUGAGUAACAUAGAUAUUCUGAGUCCCUUUGACUCCAUCCCUAAAGGGGGAAUCAGACAGGGCGCUAUGAGGAGUCCUUGAUGCCUGAUGCACAGAGAGUGCUUCAUGCAUGUUGGCCUUUAGUGUUUGACUUUUCCUACAAGCGAGGUAAGCAAGGUGGAUAUAACUCUCUCUGCCCGGUGGGUCAGGGAAGAUCACACUUGCUUUUGGGGAAGCCUGGAUGAGAAUAUGGCUCCCUCACAUCCCAGCUUCAAAUCAAGCCCCCUUCCCUGGGCUGGGCCCCAGGUGCCCAGAGUUGCUGGAUAGUGAGCAGCCCAUCCCUGAGCCAGGGCUACUGGCUCCGCUCCCUUCCAGAGGGUCUGGGGAGUCUCCAUGUCAGUCUGUGGCUUUGUCACUUGUCCCUGCUCAUCUUCCCCGCAGCCUUUCGGAAGUUCUGGCUCCUCACUCAUGCCUGAAG
rnacentral:lncRNA from 1 species